rnacentral:rRNA from 1 species
AUUGAACGCUGGCGGCAUGCCUCACACAUGCAAGUCGAACGGCAGCGGGGGAGAAGCUUGCUUUUCCUGCCGGCGAGUGGCGAACGGGUGAGUAAUACAUCGGAACGUGCCCUGUAGUGGGGGAUAACUAGUCGAAAGAUUAGCUAAUACCGCAUACGACCUGAGGGUGAAAGUGGGGGACCGCAAGGCCUCAUGCUAUAGGAGCGGCCGAUGUCUGAUUAGCUAGUUGGUGGGGUAAAGGCCUACCAAGGCGACGAUCAGUAGCUGGUCUGAGAGGACGAUCAGCCACACUGGGACUGAGACACGGCCCAGACUCCUACGGGAGGCAGCAGUGGGGAAUUUUGGACAAUGGGCGAAAGCCUGAUCCAGCAAUGCCGCGUGUGUGAAGAAGGCCUUCGGGUUGUAAAGCACUUUUGUCAGGAACGAAACGGUGGGGGCUAAUACCUCCUGCUAACGACGGUACCUGAAGAAUAAGCACCGGCUAACUACGUGCCAGCAGCCGCAGUAA